AUACGGAGGGUGCAAGCGUUACUCGGAAUCACUGGGCGUAGAGCGCGCGCAGGCGGUCUUUUAAGUUGGAUGUGAAAGCCUACGGCUCAACCGUAGAACUGCAUCCAAAACUAUUAGACUUGAGUGUGGGAGAGGAAGAUGGAAUUAGUUGUGUAGGGGUAAAAUCCGUAGAGAUAACUAGGAAUACCAAAAGCGAAGGCAAUCUUCUGGAACACUACUGACGCUGAGGCGCGAAAGCGUGGGGAGCAAACAGGAUUAGAAACCCUAGUAGUCC
rnacentral:rRNA from 1 species